UACAGAGGGUGCGAGCGUUAAUCGGAAUUACUGGGCGUAAAGCGCGCGUAGGCGGCUUUGCAAGUCGGGUGUGAAAUCCCAGGCUUAACCUGGGAACUGCAUUCGAGACUGCAUUGCUAGAGUAUGGGAGAGGGAAGUGGAAUUUCCGGUGUAGCGGUGAAAUGCGUAGAUAUCGGAAGGAACAUCAGUGGCGAAAGCGACUUCCUGGACCAAUACUGACGCUCAUGUGCGAAAGCGUGGGGAGCAAACAGG
rnacentral:rRNA from 1 species